rnacentral:rRNA from 1 species
UACGAAGGGGGCUAGCGUUGUUCGGAAUUACUGGGCGUAAAGGGCGCGUAGGCGGUGUGUCAAGUCAGGCGUGAAAGCCCCGGGCUCAACCUGGGAACCGCGCUUGAGACUGGCACGCUCGAGUUCGGGAGAGGAUAGUGGAAUUCCCAGUGUAGAGGUGAAAUUCGUAGAUAUUGGGAAGAACACCGAUGGCGAAGGCAGCCAUCUGGACCGACACUGACGCUGAGGCGCGAAAGCGUGGGGAGCAAACAGG